GCUCUGACCGCGGAGGAAGAGCAGUCGGUCGCUUACACUCGCUCGCCUUCUUCCUGUUAGAGUGCUUAAGAGGGCACUCUGUACGCAGCGGAAUUCCCAAGAAGAAUCAAUAACAUUAUGACAUUAUCCAGCAACUAACGACCCUGUUUACCAGAUACUGGAGUAUCUACAAGUCAAAGGGAGCAUGGGAUGCAGCAGCGUGCAGAUGAUAUUUCAGGAGGUGCGAGUGGCUAGCUGAGACCGCGGGCUCUCCUCGCAGGCUGGCCGGCAUGCUGCUGGAGGAUAAUCGACCAUGAUGAUGUAAAACCUUCCCUGUAGUGCUCCACUGGGACGUGGUGAGAGGGAUCACCCUGUCAGACCUGCGAUCACAGCGUUGUGACACCUUCUCUCUCAAAAUGAUGCGACAACUGCGAUGUUCAGUAUGAGACAGACACACUGAUCCAAAUAUAGAUGGGAAUUUUCUUUAUCACAACUGGGUCAAGGAGACUGAGUGAAAUGUUUUUAAAAAUCAUACAUAAAGUGAUGUUUAACAGUUCAGACCAAGUGUGACAUCAGAUUUACCCAACAUACUUUACUGCCAGGGGCGUGCUGGCCCGAUGGUUAACACUGUCACAACACAGCAAGCUGAACGCAGGUUUGAUUGUCAGUGUUUUCUGUAUUCAACCAUGUUGACCUCUCUUGGAAACAGAUGGAUCAGACAACUGAAUCAACAGACAAAAAUAACUACAUGUAAAAUAAAAGGAGUUGCUCGUGAUAAUGAACCCACAGAAAAUCCUCACCCUGCUCGGCAAUUUCCAUCAGCUGCCCGUCUGUUGCAAAUUAAGCGUGACAACACAAGUGAAAGCACUUGUUAAAGACAGGGUAGGAUUGUCGUCUUUAUACAAAUUCAAAAUAUCAACAUGGUGACACAAGACGGUCUUUAAUUCAAAGGGGAUCUAUUAUGCUCUCUCUUAUUUUCUGUCUCAUACAUAAUGUUGCAAUGUCAGAUGUUCACAUUAAAUGUGGCCAAAGUUUCAAAGAAUGGAGUAAGCAUAUGUAAAAAUAAUCCCUGUGAGCAAAAACCUCAGACUGCUCUGAACACUCUGAUGGAUUUCUUUCUAUGGCCAUCUGCUCCAGGCACGUUACUGCAGGUGUUUACAUCACGUACGCUGCUACAUGUAGCCACAUGCUAACAUCAGGGAAACAUUCUCAGUCAUCAAGGUCAUGGUAAUCGCAAGUGCUAUAUUGUAGGCAGCUGGACUAGCUUGCAUUUCCUGAAGAUGUUUCGCCUCUCAGCCAAGAAGUUUCUUCAGUUCUAAAUUUUAAAGCCUGCAACUUCAUUUAGAACUGAAGAAGCUUCUUGGAUGAGAGGCGAUAAUCGUGGUCGCCA